AGUGAACGCUGGCGGUAGGCCUAACACAUGCCAGUCGAACGGCAGCACAGUAAGAGCUUGCUCUUACGGGUGGCGAGUGGCGGACGGGUGAGGAAUACAUCGGAAUCUACUUUUUCGUGGGGGAUAACGUAGGGAAACUUACGCUAAUACCGCAUACGACCUACGGGUGAAAGCAGGGGAUCUUCGGACCUUGCGCGAAUGAAUGAGCAGAUGUUGGAUUAGCUAGUUGGCGGGGGAAAGGCCCACCAAGGCGACGAUCCGUAGCUGGUCUGAGAGGAUGAUCAGCCACACGGGAUCUGAGACACGGUCCUGACUCCUACGGGAGGCAGCAGUGGGGAAUAUUGGACAAUGGGCGCAAGCCUGAACCAGCCAUACCGCGUGGGUGAAGAAGGCCUUCGGGUUGUAAAGCCCUUUUGUUGGGAAAGAAAAGCAGCAGUUUAAUACCCCGCUGUUCUGACGGUACCCAAAGAAUAAGCACCGGCUAACUUCGUG
rnacentral:rRNA from 1 species